rnacentral:rRNA from 1 species
AUGGGGUACCUGCAGGAGGCCAGGGAGAAUCACGUGAAGAAGAAGGUCGAGGAAGCUUUGCGCAGCAAAAUGAAACAAAAGGCCCUCAAGGAAUGUGAUGUGCUGUGUUCAAAAUAUGCCGAAUGUGCUCGAGGAAGAACUUUCUCUGUGGUUUGGACAUGCCGCAAGCAAGCCAAAGAGUUGAAUAACUGUCUUCAUCAAUUCACCAAUGAUGCAAUACUGGAAGAUAUGAAGAAGGCUUACAUGGAUGGGCAAGAGAGCAAGGAGAAGAACAAAUAA